CCUACGGGAGGCAGCAGUGGGGAAUAUUGCACAAUGGGGGAAACCCUGAUGCAGCAACGCCGCGUGAGUGAAGAAGUAUUUCGGUAUGUAACGCUCUAUCAGCAGGGAAGAAGAAAGACGGUAACUGACUAAGAAGCCCCGGCUAACUACGUGCCAGCAGCCGCGGUAAGAAGUAGGGGGCAAGCGUUAACCGGAUUUACUGGGGGUAAAGGGAGCGUAGACGGCUGUGCAAGUCUGAAGGGAAAGCACGGGGCUCAACCGCGGAACUGCUUUGGAAACUGUAUAGCUUGAGUACUGGAGAGGCAGGCGGAAUUCCUAGUGUAGCGGUGAAAUGCUUAGAGAUCAUACAGAACACCGAUUGCGAAGGCAGCAUACCGGCGCGCAACUGACGCUCAUGCACGAAAGCGUGGGUAUCGAACAGGAUUAGAUACCCUUGUAGUC
rnacentral:rRNA from 1 species